rnacentral:rRNA from 1 species
CCUACGGGUGGCAGCAGUGAGGAAUAUUGGUCAAUGGGCGAGAGCCUGAACCAGCCAAGUAGCGUGAAUGAUGACUGCCCUACGGGUUGUAAACUUCUUUUAUAGGGGAAUAAAAUUAGCCACGUGUGCCGUUUUGUAUGUACUUUAUGAAUAAGGAUCGGCUAACUCCGUGCCAGCAGCCGCGGUAAUACGGAGGAUCCGAGCGUUAUCCGGAUUUAUUGGGUUUAAAGGGAGCGUAGAUGGGUUGUUAAGUCAGUUGUGAAAGUUUGCGGCUCAACCGUAAAAUUGCAGUUGAUACUGGCAGUCUUGAGUACAGUAGAGGUAGGCGGAAUUCGUGGUGUAGCGGUGAAAUGCUUAGAUAUCACGAAGAACUCCGAUUGCGAAGGCAGCUUACUAGACUGCAACUGACAUUGAGGCUCGAAAGUGUGGGUAUCAAACAGGAUUAGAUACCCGAGUAGUC